rnacentral:rRNA from 1 species
UGGCGGCAUGCCUUACACAUGCAGUCGAACGGCAUCGCGGGAAAGCUUGCUUUCCUGGCGGCGAGUGGCGAACGGGUGAGUAACACAUCGGAACGUACCGGCUAGUGGGGGAUAACCCGUCGAAAGACGGGCUAAUACCGCAUACGCUCUUCGGAGGAAAGCAGGGGACCUUUGGGCCUUGCGCUAGCCGAGCGGCCGAUGUCCGAUUAGCUAGUUGGUAGGGUAAAGGCCUACCAAGGCGACGAUCGGUAGCGGGUCUGAGAGGACGAUCCGCCACACUGGGACUGAGACACGGCCCAGACUCCUACGGGAGGCAGCAGUGGGGAAUCUUGGACAAUGGGGGCAACCCUGAUCCAGCAAUGCCGCGUGGGUGAAGAAGGCCUUCGGGUUGUAAAGCCCUUUCGGCAGGGAAGAAAUCGGCGGGGCGAAUAACCCUGCUGGAUGACGGUACCUGCAGAAGAAGCACCGGCUAACUACGUGCCAGCA